rnacentral:rRNA from 1 species
UACAGGGGGGGCAAGCGUUGUUCGGAAUUACUGGGCGUAAAGGGCUCGUAGGUGGCCAACUAAGUCGGACGUGAAAUCCCUCAGCUUAACUGGGGAACUGCGUCCGAUACUGGAUGGCUUGAGAUUGGGAGAGGGAUGCGGAAUUCCAGGUGUAGCGGUGAAAUGCGUAGAUAUCUGGAGGAACACCGGUGGCGAAGGCGACUUUCUGGUCUGUAACUGACGCUGAGGCGCGAAAGCGUGGGGAGCAAACAGG